AGAGUUUGAUCAUGGCUCAGAAUGAACGCUGGCGGCGUGCCUAACACAUGCAAGUCGAGCGAGAACGUUCCUUCGGGAACUAGUAAAGCGGCGGACGGGUGAGUAAUACGUAAGAAUCUGCCUUUCAGUGAAGAAUACCCUCGAGAAAUUGAGGUUAAUGCUGCAUAUGUCCCUCCGGGGAGAAAGAUGGCCUCUUUGCUGUCGCUGAAAGAUGAGCUUACGCGCUAUUAGUUUGUUGGUAGGGUAAAGGCCUACCAAGACGAUGAUGGCUAGCCGGCCUGAGAGGGUGAACGGCCACACUGGAACUUAGAUACGGUCCAGACUCCUACGGGAGGCAGCAGUGAGGAAUAUUGCGCAAUGGGGGAAACCCUGACGCAGCGACGCCGCGUGGAGGAUGAAGGCUUUAGGGUCGUAAACUCCUGUUAAGUGGGAAGAAAGGCCUCUUCAUAAUACGUUGAGGAUAUGACGGUACCACUAGAGAAAGCACCGGCUAACUUCGUGCCAGCAGCCGCGGUAAUACGAGGGGUGCUAGCGUUAUUCGGAAUUAUUGGGCGUAAAGGGUGUGUAGACGGCAUAUUAAGUUGAUUGUUAAAUAUCUCGGCCUAACCGGGAAAAUGCAGUCAAUACUGAUUUGCUAGAGGGUGGAAGAGAGAAGUGGAGUUCUCGGAGUAGCGGUAAAAUGCGUAGAUCUCGAGAGGAACACCGAUGGCGAAGGCAGCUUCUUGGUCCAUUCCUGACGUUGAGACACGAAAGCGUGGGGAGCAAACAGGAUUAGAUACCCUAGUAGUCC
rnacentral:rRNA from 1 species